GUGCACUUUAUUAAAUAUAAAGAACAGUAGAAACUAAAUUUAACGAAAACAAUGUUUGUAUUUUAGGAAAUAACUGAGAACAAAAGACACCAAAGCAGGCGUUGUGUGUACGAAAUUCUAAAACAAAUGGCAUUGGGAAAAGUUUUGACUUAUGCAAUAUUUUAUUUUUCCACGGUAAAUUGGGGUUAAUGUACCUAUGGAGCUUAUACGCAUUUACCUAAAUUAAAAAGGUCAUUAGUCACCGUGCAGGAACGAAGUUUAACGAUGAAAGCUAUUUCUUAGUAAGCGCAAGAAUGCAAAAUGAACAUUGCGAUACUUAGGAAUUUUGGUUAUUUGAAACUGUUUCGAAAGUACGAAUGUGAAUGCAAAUACAUCGACGAAAACACACAUGAUGGUUUUAAAGAUGGACAAAGACACUUAUAAAUGAAGAGAGGGAACAGAAACCAAGAAUUUUACAUACCAUUUAGACUGGAAUGAAUAGUGAAAUUACAUAGAAAAUGAAUACCAUAUUAUUUUUUGAGAAUAUUGUGAAAAGAAAAGUAUAAUAAUAAUGAACAUUCUAAGUAUUAGAAAGGUUUCUGUUUUUGAAGAUGUUAUUUAACAAUAAUUCUAGAAAUUCUAAUUUUUAUGUAUGAUAUGACUCUUACCGAUUAGAUGACUGACUAAACCCCAA